ensembl:lncRNA
AUGUUACAUCAAGGAUCAUUUCACAUAAAUGAGCAGAAGCAAGGCAACAUCAGUCUUCUCAUCUACAAAGUGUCUGCCAUAUUCAGAUAUGAGCCAUACAAAGGAUUGGAGGCACAGAGGAUAACCAGAAAGGAAGAAAACCUCGGACUACCAGAGGCUUUUUCAGUUUGUGUGUGUGGAAACAGCUUGCAUCUUGCCAACUUAGAUAAACUGAAACUACUUGAACAAAUAUCAAAUACCAACCUUUGAAUACUCUGAAAAAAGUACUGUGAUAAUGGGACAAUUGUAUUCAGAUCCACAUCAUCAGGAACAUUGAUAUCAAGAGAAAUGUAGAGCCAUUCCUAGAUGUAUUCCCUGUUUAGUCCCUACAAAGCUUCCCUAUGUAUUGAUAUUAUCUGAUUCUGCCUGAAUUCUAAUGUAGAAAAUGUUCUACUAUCGCAGGCUCCAUUCGAUAGAUUAUGAAAGAGCUUAAACUAGAUGCAUUUGUUUUCCUAUGUGUAAAGAAGUGUAUGAUUUUAUUUUGUUUAAUGAUGACAUGUUUAUUUGAUUUGUUUAAACAGUCAGGUUUGGUUAAUUUAAUAUGGUGAGUAUUAGAGCUGAUAAUACCAGGAGAUAGCCAGCUCAGCAUUGAAGAACUGGUUGCUAUGACAACGGGGGCGGAGCCAACCACCAUUUGGAAAGGAAAAGGGGGAAUGUUUUAAAAACCCAGUUUCAGUCUGUGAUUUCUAGUCGCAAGACGAAGACUGAUUCUCAUGUGGAGGGUCAGGAUGGCUCAAACAAAAAGAAUUUGAGUCAGAUCUAAAAUAAAGUGAUUUAUUUUAGAUAGUCUGUGAUUUUGAAUCACAGGGAGCAGUCUGGUUUCAAGACUGAAGAAAGCCAGAGGGACAGACCUCUAUUAGGCCAGACUAGGCAAGUUAGGGACUUGUUUAGGGUCAGUUAUAGAGGCUGUGGAUUAGGGAAAGUUAAUCCCAGUGGAUCCAGGAGGAUCAGGUUUUGGUUUAGUUUGGAGGAAGAAGUAUUUUGAAAGUUUGAACACCUCAUAUCUGUUUGUAACCAUUAAGCUAAGUGCCUUUAAAAAGUUAUAAGAAACCAUCAAGCUCUGUACAAGCAAUAAACUUAUUUUGAUUUUAUUCCACCUAAGUCUCUGUCACAAUUAUAUACCAAGUUAAGCGACAUCAUCAUCUGAGGUAAAAUAAACAAAGAAAUCAUUAAAAAGAACCAGUGCCAUCUGCCUGACGUCUCCUCAAAUGGUGGCAGCGAAGAAGAGAAUUAAAUAAAUAAUUAAUUAAAAUCAUCAUUCAUAAAACAUCUUUAUAAUUGGUGGUAUCUGUGUGUGUGGUGGGAUCAAAAAGGAUUCCAUCUCUGUCACACAUCUCUCACCUCUCCACAAUUGGUGGCAGCGGUGGAAUUCAAAAGGAUUCCUCCCUGUCACACUUCUCCACACUAUGUAGUAGAUAUUUUCCAAGUUCCUCUAUUUAUUAUUUAUUUUAUUGCAUUUUUACCCCACUCUAUCUCCACCCCGAAGGGGACUCAGAGCAGCUUCUAUUUAUUGCUAAUCAACAGCAACUGAAGAAUGUUCACAGCAGUCUGGAAAUAAUCACUUCCUGGGUUGUCUUCCCAACUCAGCAAAAAUUAGAAUCUUUCCAAUCCCCUGGUCUUUAAUAAUUUGACAUUAAAAUGGAUGACUUUGAUUAACAAUAAUUCCAGGCAAGCUAUAGGAGCCAUCUUGCCAAAUUCUGCAACACACUGAGAUCAAA